GCAUUCCAUCAUACCACUCUGAACAUACUUGAUCUUGUCUGAUUUCAGAAACUAAGCAGAGGUAGGCUUGGUUUUUACUUGGAUGAGAGACAAAAAUUGUAAUACC
rnacentral:rRNA from 1 species